rnacentral:rRNA from 1 species
GAAGAACGCUGGCGGCGUGCCUAAUACAUGCAAGUCGAGCGAACGGACGAGAAGCUUGCUUCUCUGAUGUUAGCGGCGGACGGGUGAGUAACACGUGGAUAACCUACCUAUAAGACUGGGAUAACUUCGGGAAACCGUAGCUAAUACCGGAUAAUAUUUUGAACCGCAUGGUUCAAAAGUGAAAGACGGUCUUGCUGUCACUUAUAGAUGGAUCCGCGCUGCAUUAGCUAGUUGGUAAGGUAACGGCUUACCAAGGCAACGAUGCAUAGCCGACCUGAGAGGGUGCUCGGCCACACUGGGACUGAGACACGGUCCAGACUCCUACGGGAGGCAGCAGUAGGGAAUCUUCCGCAAUGGGCGAAAGCCUGACGGAGCAACGCCGCGUGAGUGAUGAAGGUCUUCGGAUCGUAAAACUCUGUUAUUAGGGAAGAACAUAUGUGUAAGUAACUGUGCACAUCUUGACGGUACCUAAUCAGAAAGCCACGGCUAACUACGUG